rnacentral:rRNA from 1 species
UACGUAGGUGGCAAGCGUUGUCCGGAAUUAUUGGGCGUAAAGCGCGCGCAGGCGGUCUCUUAAGUCUGAUGUGAAAGCCCACGGCUCAACCGUGGAGGGUCAUUGGAAACUGGGAGACUUGAGUGCAGAAGAGAAGAGUGGAAUUCCACGUGUAGCGGUGAAAUGCGUAGAGAUGUGGAGGAACACCAGUGGCGAAGGCGACUCUUUGGUCUGUAACUGACGCUGAGGCGCGAAGGCGUGGGGAGCAAACAGG